GUCCCCAUCGUCUAGUGGCCUAGGACGUCGGCCUCUCACGCCGAUAACAGGGGUUCAAAUCCCCUUGGGGACGCCA
rnacentral:tRNA from 1 species